rnacentral:lncRNA from 1 species
AAAUGCAAACCAAGGAGGCUGGAAGAUAAGAGCAGAGCCAUCAGGACCCAAGCCCCUCGGGGGUAUGAAACAGGAGUCCUGGGAGCAACUUAGUAGGUGCACUGUAUGGAGGGACGGAAGGGGCAGGGAGGAGCAUCUGAAUGUAAGAUUUCAGAGAAGCUCAUUUUGUCAGCGUUUCAGAGCUUCCUGUGUGCAGCAUGGAUCUAAAGCUGGUGGAUGCAGGGGGGUGAACAAGACAACAUCUUCACUUCCUGCAUGCUGAUGGCGGAAGUGAGACAUCAGCGAAGAAACAUCACGAUCACCAAAUUAUGAUGAACACCAUGGAGAAAACAAAGGACACUGUGACACCAAGGAAGGAAGGGAAGUUACUUUUCAUAGUGGCUGUAAAUAGAACUGAAGGCUGAAAAAGAGCUGUUAAAAUGGCUUGUUUGAAGAUGAAUGAGAGUAUAUAAUAAAAGGAAAAAAUUUGGACACAGACACACACAGAGGGAUGACCACGUGGAGACGCAGGGAGAGGAUAGCAGCUACAGGCCAGGGCGAGAGGCUUCAGAGGAAACCAGCCCUGCUGACUCUUUGAAGUCGGACUCCCAGCCUCCAGAACUGAACCACCGUCUUCCUUUAUCCCAGGAUGUCUGCAAGGAAGAAAAUGUCCCUUUUCUAGCAUUUAGAGGCCACCAACAUUGAAUAACCACACUGGGAUAGACACAGCGGGGAAAAGAUUCCUGCUGUUCCCAUCACAGCAGCCUUGGAGAUGAGGAGACAGAUGGAUCUGACCAGAAGUCUGGAGAACUUCGAGAAAAAAGGAGGAGGACACAAAGGGAAAUAAGUAAAAAGAUAUGUCUGGAGCAACUAUGAGGAUGGCAAAUUGGUGUCUAAUUCUGAAAAUCAUAAUUGGUAUAAAUGCUAUGCACUGUGGAAGGAGGGAUGAAAGGUAGAGGGAAUAAAAAAGAACAUGAAGUCAGAAUCCUUGGCACGAAAGCCUGCCGUUUAUACAAGCAAACAAACAAGAUCAGAGACUAUCAACAGGCUGGCUGAAUUGGACCAAUAGGCAGGUUUAUUCAGCCCCACACUUCAAAAAUCAGGAGAUCUCCACAUUAAAAUCUGGGAAUCUGACCUUUUGUAACAAAUCAGGGGAUUUGCAACACCAAGAGCAUCAUCACAGGCAACGACCGGCUUGGACGGACAGUGGCUGCCCCUGCAGAUGGGUCAGGUGCUCUUUCAUUGGACACAGUCUCCACCACUCCCUGUUGCUUGCUCCUUGCUCCUUGCUCCCCAUCAGCAUAACUGUUUGGGCCUUAUAGCAUAUGCAUUUGUCACUCCCUACUAGGACAUCCACAACAUGAAAUGAGAGAACAAUUUGGUAAAUUCAACAAAAGGCAUAUUACGCAGCCACCAUACAUUCCUUGUGGAAAGAGAAGUGGCAUAA